GUUUGGUGACAGGGUUUGCUAAGCUGAUGAGUCAUGGAAAUAGGAUGGCAGUGAAAAUAACAUGUGCCAGGCACCUCACACCCGGAAACAGCAGAUUGUUCUCCAUAGAAGCUGCACCAUUUGCAAUCUCACCAGAAGUGUAAGAAGGUUCCAGUUUUUCCUUCUCCUUGGUAAUACUUCUAUUAUCUGUCUUUUGUGAUACAGCUACCC
rnacentral:lncRNA from 1 species